UUUCUACUCCCUCCGUUUUGAAUUACUUGUCGCAGGUAUGGAUGUAUCUAGAUGUAUUUUAGUUCUAGAUACAUCCAUUUCUGCGACGAGUAAUUUGGAACGGAGGGAGUAGUAA
rfam:Triticum aestivum genome assembly, contig: Triticum_aestivum_CS42_TGACv1_scaffold_001169_1AL